UACGUAGGGGGCUAGCGUUGUCCGGAUUUAUUGGGCGUAAAGAGCGUGUAGGCGGCCAGGUAGGUCUGCUGUGAAAACUCGAGGCUUAACCUCGAGAUGUCGGUGGAAACCAUCUGGCUAGAGUCCGGAAGAGGAGAGUGGAAUUCCUGGUGUAGCGGUGAAAUGCGCAGAUAUCAGGAAGAACACCCGUGGCGAAGGCGGCUCUCUGGCCCGGUACUGACGCUGAGGUGCGAAAGCGUGGGGAGCAAACAGG
rnacentral:rRNA from 1 species